rnacentral:Y_RNA from 1 species
AACUGGUCUGAUGGUAGUGGGUUAAAAGAAAUUAUUAGUGUUAGUUAAACUUGUUUUUUUGUAUUCCACCCCAUCACUAAUGCUGUCUGGUCUUUU